rnacentral:rRNA from 1 species
AGAGUUUGAUCCUGGCUCAGGAUGAACGCUGGCGGUAUGCCUAACACAUGCAAGUCGAACGGUGUCUUCGGACACAGUGGCGGACGGGUGAGUAACGCGUGAGAAUCUGCCUCUAGGUUGGGGACAACAGUUGGAAACGACUGCUAAUACCCGAUGUGCCGUAAGGUAAAAGAUUUAUUGCCUGGAGAGGAGCUCGCGUCUGAUUAGCUAGUUGGUGGGGUAAAAGCCUACCAAGGCAGCGAUCAGUAGCUGGUCUGAGAGGAUGAGCAGCCACACUGGGACUGAGACACGGCCCAGACUCCUACGGGAGGCAGCAGUGGGGAAUUUUCCGCAAUGGGCGAAAGCCUGACGGAGCAAUACCGCGUGAGGGAGGAAGGCCUUUGGGUUGUAAACCUCUUUUCUCAGGGAAGAAGAUCUGACGGUACCUGAGGAAUAAGCAUCGGCUAACUCCGUGCCAGCAGCCGCGGUAAUACGGAGGAUGCAAGCGUUAUCCGGAAUCAUUGGGCGUAAAGCGUCCGCAGGUGGUUUUUCAAGUCUGCUGUUAAAGACUGGAGCUCAACUCCGGAAAGGCAGUGGAAACUGAGAAACUAGAGUUCGGUAGGGGUAGCGGGAAUUCCCAGUGUAGCGGUGAAAUGCGUAGAUAUUGGGAAGAACAUCGGUGGCGAAGGCGCGCUACUGGACCGAAACUGACACUCAGGGACGAAAGCUAGGGGAGCGAAAGGGAUUAGAUACCCCUGUAGUCCUAGCUGUAAACGAUGGAAACUAGGUGUGGCUUGUAUCGACCCGAGCCGUGCCGUAGCUAACGCGUUAAGUUUCCCGCCUGGGGAGUACGCACGCAAGUGUGAAACUCAAAGGAAUUGACGGGGGCCCGCACAAGCGGUGGAGUAUGUGGUUUAAUUCGAUGCUACGCGAAGAACCUUAUCCUAGACUUGACAUGUUUGAGAAUCCCUUGGAAACAUGGGAGUGCCCUUCGGGGAGCUCUUGCACAGGUGCUGCAUGGCUGUCGUCAGCUCGUGUCGUGAGAUGUCGGGUUAAGUCCCUUAACGAGCGAAACCCUUAUCUCUAGUUGCCAGCGGGUAAUGCCGGGGACUCUAGAGAGACUGCCGGUGUCAAACCGGAGGAAGGUGGGGAUGACGUCAAGUCCUCAUGGCCUUUAUGUCUAGGGCUGCACACGUCCUACAAUGGCACGGACAAACGGACGCAAUACCGCGAGGUGGAGCAAAUCCUAGAAACCGUGCCUCAGUUCGGAUUGCAGGCUGCAACUCGCCUGCAUGAAGCCGGAAUCGCUAGUAAUCGCGGGUCUGCAUACCGCGGUGAAUGUGUUCCUGAGCCUUGUACACACCGCCCGUCAAGCCACGAAAGUUGGGAGGGCCCGAAGUCGCCAAGCUAACCCUCACGGGAGGCAGGCGCCGAAGGUCAGCUCGACAA